GCUCAGGUGGUGAAAUUGGUAGACACGCUGUCUUCAGGCGGCAGUAUCGCAAGAUAUAGGGGUUCGAAUCCCCUCCUGAGCACCA
rnacentral:tRNA from 1 species